AACGAACGCUGGCGGCAUGCCUAACACAUGCAAGUCGAACGAGACCUUCGGGUCUAGUGGCGCACGGGUGCGUAACGCGUGGGAAUCUGCCCUUGGGUUCGGAAUAACAGCGAGAAAUUGCUGCUAAUACCGGAUGAUGACGUAAGUCCAAAGAUUUAUCGCCCAAGGAUGAGCCCGCGUAGGAUUAGCUAGUUGGUGAGGUAAAGGCUCACCAAGGCGACGAUCCUUAGCUGGUCUGAGAGGAUGAUCAGCCACACUGGGACUGAGACACGGCCCAGACUCCUACGGGAGGCAGCAGUGGGGAAUUUUGGACAAUGGGGGCAACCCUGAUCCAGCAAUGCCGCGUGAGUGAAGAAGGCCUUC
rnacentral:rRNA from 1 species